rnacentral:rRNA from 1 species
GACGAACGCUGGCGGCGUGCCUAAUACAUGCAAGUCGAGCGGACAGACGGGAGCUUGCUCCCUGAUGUUAGCGGCGGACGGGUGAGUAACACGUGGGUAACCUGCCUGUAAGACUGGGAUAACUCCGGGAAACCGGGGCUAAUACCGGAUGGUUGUCUGAACCGCAUGGUUCAGACAUAAAAGGUGGCUUCGGCUACCACUUACAGAUGGACCCGCGGCGCAUUAGCUAGUUGGUGAGGUAACGGCUCACCAAGGCAACGAUGCGUAGCCGACCUGAGAGGGUGAUCGGCCACACUGGGACUGAGACACGGCCCAGACUCCUACGGGAGGCAGCAGUAGGGAAUCUUCCGCAAUAGACGAAAGGCUGACGGAGCAACGCCGCGUGAGUGAUGAAGGUUUUCGGAUCGUAAAGCUCUGUUGUUAGGGAAGAACAAGUGCCGUUCAAAUAGGGCGGCACCUUGACGGUACCUAACCAGAAAGCCACGGCUAACUACGUG